rnacentral:rRNA from 1 species
CCUACGGGUGGCAGCAGUGGGGAAUAUUGCACAAUGGGGGAAACCCUGAUGCAGCGACGCCGCGUGAGUGAAGAAGUAUUUCGGUAUGUAAAGCUCUAUCAGCAGGGAAGAAAAUGACGGUACCUGACUAAGAAGCCCCGGCUAACUACGUGCCAGCAGCCGCGGUAAUACGUAGGGGGCAAGCGUUAUCCGGAUUUACUGGGUGUAAAGGGAGCGUAGAUGGAUUGGAAAGCCAGAGGUGAAAGGCUGGGGCUCAACCUCAGGACUGCAUUUGGAACUGUCAGGCUAGAGUGCCGGAGGGGUAAGCGGAAUUCCUAGUGUAGCGGUGAAAUGCGUAGAUAUUAGGAGGAACACCGGUGGCGAAGGCGGCUUACUGGACGGAAACUGACAUUGAGGCUCGAAAGCGUGGGGAGCAAACAGGAUUAGAUACCCGAGUAGUC